rnacentral:tRNA from 1 species
CAAAAUAUAGCUUAACAAAAGCCUUUCGCUUACACCGAAAAAAUAUCUGUUGAACCCAGAUUAUUUUGA